GCCCUUAUUAGAUACCCUGGUAGUCCACGCCGUAAACGAUGAUUACUAGGUGUCGGUGGGUAUGGACCCACCGGUGCCGCAGCAAACGCAGUAAGUAAUCCACCUGGGGAGUACGUUCGCAAGAAUGAAACUCAAAGGAAUUGACGGGGACCCGCACAAGCGGUGGAGCAUGUGGUUUAAUCCGAAGCAACGCGAAGAACCUUACCAAGUCUUGACAUCCCAUCGAAUAAAGGGUAAUGCCUUUAGUCCUUCGGGACGAUGGAGACAGGUGGUGCGUGGUUGUCGUCAGCUCGUGUCGUGAGAUGUUGGGUUAAGUCCCGCAACGAGCGCAACCCUUAUUCCCAGUAGCCAGCAAGUGAGGUUGGGCACUCUGGGGAGACUGCCGGGGACAACCCGGAGGAAGGUGGGGAUGACGUCAAAUCAUCAUGCCCCUUAUGAUUUGGGCUACACACGUGCUACAAUGGCGUAAACAGAGGGAGGCGAGCCCGCGAGGGGGAGCAAAUCCCAAAAAUAACGUCCCAGUUCGGAUUGUAGUCUGCAACCCGACUACAUGAAGCUGGAAUCGCUAGUAAUCGCGAAUCAGAAUGCCGCGGUGAAUACGUUCCCGGGUCUUGUACACACCGCCCGUCACACCAUGGGAGUCGGGAAUGCCCGAAGUCAGUGACCCAACCGGAAGGAGGGAGCUGCCGAAGGCAGGCUCGAUAACUGGGGUGAAGUCGUAACAAGGUACC
rnacentral:rRNA from 1 species